GUUUGUGAAAAUGACUUUAGAUCUUGUAUUGAUAGGUAUGCCGUUUUUUCUGGUACUUGGGGUUUUACUUCUCAUUAGUUCGUUCGCAUUUAUCAUAAAUUUUGCUGACACUAUGUCCACCAUUUUAAAAAUACGGAUACUGUUUUUUGCCGCUAGUUCUGUGUGCCUCACUAUGACAUUUUGUUGGAUUGGUCAGCAACUCAUAAAUGCGACUAGCGAAAUUUUUUGGUCUCUGGGUGGAGCUCCUUUUUACUUUUGGAAUCGUGAAAAUUCAAAAAUUCUUUUGAUGUUUUUAAUGAAUUGUACCAACAAAGACAGCGUUGUUUUAGCAGGAAUUUGUUUAAAUUACAGAUUAUUUUUGUCGGUACGCAUACUUUGACUUGUAAUUUUUUAGUCUAAUUUUUUUUCAGGUGGUACGACUUACAGUUUCAUAUGCUCUAGUUUUGUUCAACUUACACAAAAGUGGUCUAGUUUAAAAUAAUCAGAAAUAAAG